UGGGCUUGACAUCCUGUGGAUUCUAUAGAGAUAUGGAAGUGCCCUUUCGGGGGAACACGGAGAC
rnacentral:rRNA from 1 species